AUACGGAGGGUGCAAGCGUUACUCGGAAUCACUGGGCGUAAAGCGCGCGCAGGCGGGCUGAUAAGUUGGAUGUGAAAGCCUACGGCUCAACCGUAGAACUGCAUCCAAAACUGUCAGUCUAGAGUCUGGGAGGGGAAGAUGGAAUUAGUUGUGUAGGGGUAAAAUCCGUAGAGAUAACUAGGAAUACCAAAAGCGAGGCGAGCUUCUGGAACAGUACUGACGCUGAGGCGCGAAAGCGUGGGGAGCAAACAGGAUUAGAAACCCUAGUAGUCC
rnacentral:rRNA from 1 species